CUUUUGUUUUUUGUUUGUUUGUUUUGUUUGUAAUAUAGUUUGGCUCUAUGUCCCCACCCAAAUCUCACAUGGGAUUGUAAUCCCCAUGUGUUGAACGUGGGUCCUGUGGAAGGUGAAUGGAUCAUAGGGGUGGAUUUCCCUCAUGCUGUUCUCAUGAUAGUGGGUGAGUUCUCAGGAGAUCUGGUGCUUUAAAAGUGUGUGUGACUUUGACCUUCUCUCUCUCCUGCCACCUUGUGAAGAAGGUGCUUGCUUCCCCUUCACCUUGUGCUAUGAUUGUAAGUUUCCGGAGGACUCCCAAUCAUGCUUCCUGUUAAGCAUGCAGAACUUUUUGAAAUGAAACAACAAAAUAACAUUUUUAAAUCAGAAAUCAAUGUUUGAUUCUGCAGAUCACAAAUGGUGCCAUAUUUUUAUAGCAACACAAAGAAAUGUUGUAAGUGUGAAAUUACUUACUUGGCCUUUUUAUGGAUUCAUAUGGCCUUACAUGGAAUGAAGGAAAGAAUAAAAAAUGGAUAUGAUCCUGACCAUGUUGAACAACAGAUUUUCAAGACUGUCAGAAAAGGACCACAGUGCGUAUAUCAGCUAAUUUAUGUCAAGAUGGCAUUUUUGUGUAGUUAUAAAAAUGAAGAAUAUUAUUUGUACAGAGCUUUAACUUGUACUGAGGCCUUCCACAAAUGAUAUGUCAUUGAGUUCUCACAAUAAGUUACAUUCUUUGCAAAUUGUUUUGUGAAAUUCUAUAUACAUUUCACAAAUGAAGAACGUGAGGUUCAGAGAAUUUUUGCAAAUUAAUGACCAACCAUAGAUCUAGUAAGUUUCAGAGUUAGUACCUAAACCUAAACUUUGCCUCUUUAUUCUUUAUUCCCCAGUACUUGAACAGUUAACAAAGCAUUUAUUCUCUAGCAGGAAGUUACUUUGGCCUUCUAUAUUUAGUUUUGAACUUACCAUUGAAUAAUUUCCAUAAUAGGCCAGGCAUGGUGGCUCACAACUGUGAUCUCAGUCCUUUGGGAGGCUGAGGCAGGAGGAUUGCUUGAACCUAGGAAUUCAAGACCAGCCUGGGCAAGAUGGCAAGACCCUGUUUCUACAAAAAUAAAAUAAAGUAAAAUUAGUUGGGCAUGGUGGUGCAUGCAUGUAGUCCCAGUUACUCAGGAGGAUGAGGUGGGAGGAUUGCUUGAGCUCAGCAGUUUGAGGUUAUGGUGAGCUAUGAUCAUGCCACUGCAAUCCAGGCUGGGUGACAGAAAUAGAGACCCUGUCUUUUUAAAUAAUAAUAAUAAUACCCAUGAUAAAAAUACUUGUAUUUUAUUACUUUUCUUUUAAUAUUUAUAACUCAGUGUGUGUCAGACUUUUUGCUAAGUCUUUCAUAUAUAUAAAUAAUAGAUAGAUAGAUAGAUAGAUAGAUAGAUAGAUAGAUAGAUAGAUGCUCUAUGAGGUAUUGAUUAUCUGGACAUGAAUUCUCUGCUACAUUCCUAAAGAAAUACUCACUUUUCCCUAUCUUAUUCUGUCUGACAUCAAGCUACUACUAGUCACACCAUUUAGGACACUCAAUUUAGAUUAUUUGAUCUAUUGUUCAUCUAUAACAAGAUUCCAACCAGUGCCAACUCCCUGUCAAUGCAAAAUUCACUGAAAUUUUACUUGCCCCACCUAUUCACUUUUCCCUUUAGCCUACAUGUAACCUGAAAAUCACCUAUCAAUAAUGCUUUUGAGAAAAUAAUUAUCUAAUUGGAAAUCUAUACCCUUUGAACAAUAUUUCCUCAAUCCUUCACUCUCCUCCAUCCCCAGUCUCUGGUAAUCACUGUUCUAUUCUCUACUUCCAUGAGUUUGACUUUAUUAGAGUCCACAUAUAAGUGAGAUCAUGACGUAUUUGUCUUUCUGCGCCUGGCUUGUUUCACUUAGCAUAAUGUCCCCUAGGUUCAUUCAUGUUGUCAGAGAUGACAGGAUUUUCUUCUUUUGUAAAGUGGAAUAGUAUUCCAUUGUAUACAUAUAUGUGUAUAUGACAUUUUUAAAUCCAGUCAUCUGUUGAUAAUCAUUGCACAUUAUAUACAAAUUCAACAUACCACAUUACACCUCAUAAAUGCAUGCAAUUAUGAUUUAUCAAUUAAAAAUAAUAUUAAUAAAAAGAGAUAGUUUUUUAUAUUAAUAGAAACCUAUGUCCCACAUAUUUAUUAGUACUGAAUAUGUAUAUAAUCUGACUACUACAUCUCCAUCUCAUUGAAUAUCAGGGUUCAGGUUUAUAUGAAAGCAUUUUUUCUCAUCUCCAAAACUGCAUUUGAAUUCCUUUGGAAGCUAUGAAUUGGAUUUAGAAAACAAUGACAGACUUCCAAAACAGACAGGGAUAUUUUUCAGUUAUAAUUUUUCAGGUAAUUCUGACUUUCUAUGUUAAUUUUCUAACUCAGUGUUUUCCACUAAUUUAUAAAGGAGAACUGUAACCUUAAUAUAUGCAUUUUCCUCAUAGCCAAAAUUGUUGAGCUGUUGAAAUCUAAACAACAUUUAAAAUAUCUAUCAGGGAGGGAGAUGAGCCUUUAAGUUUUGAAAUCUAAUCUAAGAUGAUACUUCAUAAACUUUUACUUACUGAGUUUAUAAAAAUGGGCUGUUUUAAAAAAUAUGUAGACUUUCUUGUCAAAGAGCCUGUCUUUGUUGUCUCUGAUAUCUAAUUAUUCCCCAAAGUAAUCUCUUUGUAUCCUUUCCUCCAAAACAAGUAUGUGACAAUCUGCUCCUCAGAUAAAAGAACAAGGAAAGAAUGGUAUAUGUUCUCAUUCAAAAUAAAUAUAAAAGAUAAAAGAAAUGAAGUGUAAUAACAAAUCCUAAGUGAAAAAAAAUAAGAUUUUAAAAAAUUAUUCCAACUGGGGAAAAGAACUAUUAAAUGUAUGUAUUUUAUUUAUAUUGUCUUAUCCGGAGUGGAAGGUGUGCUGACGCCUUCCACAAGUUGUUGUUCC
rnacentral:lncRNA from 10 species